rnacentral:rRNA from 1 species
ACGCUGGCGGUGCGCCUUAUGCAUGCAAGUCGAGCGAAGCUUUUCAGUAGUUUACUACAGAAAAUGACUGAGCGGCGAACGGGUGAGUAACGCGUGAGCAAUCUACCUUAGUUACAGGGAUAGCCCGAGGAAACUCGGAUUAAUACCUGAUAUUCUUUAUAUUUCGCAUGAAAUUAAAAGGAAAGGUCAGCCGAACUAAGAUGAGCUCGCGUUCUAUCAGCUAGUUGGUGAGGUAAAAGCUCACCAAGGCUACGACGGAUAGCUGGUCUGAGAGGACGAUCAGCCACACUGGGACUGAGACACGGCCCAGACUCCUACGGGAGGCUGCAGCAGGGAAUAUUGCGCAAUGAGCGAAAGCUUGACGCAGCGACACCGCGUGUGGGAUGACGGAUCUAGGUUUGUAAACCACUUUCAGGAGGGAAGAAAAUGACGGUACCUCCACAAGAAGCCCCGGCCAACUACGUGCCAGCAGCCGCGGUAAUACGUAGGGGGCGAGCGUUGUCCGGAUAUAUUGGGCGUAAAGAGCUCGUAGGCGGUUCAACAAGUCGGUCGUGAAAGUU